UACUGAGAGGUGAAUUGAAAGAGAAUUGGUUAAAAUAAUUAAAUGGUUUAUUUAAGUAAAGAUUUUUAAAUUUAUAUUGAUAAAGGGUGAAAUCAAUUUUUUGAUGUGUAAAUAGUUAAAUUUUCUUGAAUUGAAUUGAAGUUGUUAAGGUAUGGGUAUGGACCAGGAUUAGAUACCCUGUUACACCUUACUUAAAAUUAAAAUACCUGGGUAUUAAACAGUUAUUAUCUUGAAACUCAAAGGAUUUGGCGGUAGCUUAGUCUAUUUAGAGGAACCUGUCCUGUAAUCGAUAAUCCACGGAGAAUCUUACUUUAUUUUGUAGAAUUCAGUUUGUAUACCGUCAUUAUUAGAUAACUUUAAUAAGAUUUUUAGUUAUUGUAAUAAUUUUUUUUAGUAUAUUAGAUCAAGGUGCAGCUUAUGAUAAAGGAGAGAUGGGUUACAAUAAAAUAUAUGUAUAUGGAUUAAGAAAGGAAUCUUUUUUAUGAAGGUGGAUUUAAUAGUAAAAUGAUUUUAAUAAGAUUUUUUGAUUAUAGCUCUAGGUUAUGUACACAUCGCCCGUCGCUCUCGUUAAUUAAAGC
rnacentral:rRNA from 1 species